rnacentral:rRNA from 1 species
UACGGGGGGAGCAAGCGUUGUUCGGAUUUACUGGGCGUAAAGGGCGCGUAGGCGGCCAGCACAAGUCAGUUGUGAAAUCUCCGGGCUUAACUCGGAAAGGUCAACUGAUACUGUGCGGCUAGAGUGCAGAAGGGGCAACUGGAAUUCUCGGUGUAGCGGUGAAAUGCGUAGAUAUCAGGAGGAACACCGGUGGCGAAGGCGGCUUUCUGGACAGACACCGACGCUGAGGCACGAAAGCUAGGGGAGCAAACAGG